AUGGCAGAGCCGAUUCCAGCGGAUUCCAGCAUCAUGGUCACGCCUCCAGUCUAUCGGAGACGCAAUCCCUCCGAGGAAUCACGCGGCAUCUCAAAUGCAGGCGGCAAGGAUCAUGGAGUGGCCAGCUCUACAGGGGAGACUAGCCAGGCCGCCAUUUCUGCAGGCCCACCAGAUAAGCUUGACCCGGAGUCGGCAAAGGCGUGCCUCGAGGUGGAGAAGACGCACCCCAGGAUCCUCCCUCUUCUUGGGAAAGCAUACUUCGCAUGCGUCGUAUGCAAGUCGCAUGUUCAGCAACCAUUUCAAGUGGUGGUUCCAAGGUCGAUGGUGCCGUUCCUCCCAUCGAAGCCGACGCCGGCGACCCUGACAUGGCAGGGUCGGUCCUGGGAGAUGCGCUUCACAGGGGGACGGCACAUCCAGCGGCUGGAGGCAGGGUGGCGGGGUUUCGCGCUGGACAACGCGCUGAGGCUCGGCGAUGGCUGCGUGUUCGAGCUGGUGGGGUGCGAUGGCGAGGGCAUCGUGUUCAGGGUGCAGGUGCUGCGCGCCGAGAUCCCGGCGAGUAUCCGGGAGAGGGCGGGCGGGUACACCCCGUCCAGCGCCAUCGUGCUAGACUAG
rnacentral:rRNA from 1 species